AUGAUCUUCAGGUGACUCGUGACCUCGCGCUAAUCGUAGCAAUACUUACAAACAUGGUAUAUGCAAAAUUAACAUCACACCAAACAUAAUAAUACACUGCAUAAUAAUAAUCUACGCGUUACUACGAUAUCGUGGGAACAAGAACCACUAAAUUCAGAGCUACAGUUAUUAAGUUAUGAAUUUCUGAAAUUAUUUAGUGCUUAGAAUAGAUUAAUCCAAAUGAACAAUUUUAAUUCAAGUUUCAUGGCUAAACAGUGUUACUAGUUGAUAGACAAUAUUAAUACAAAAUUAUUGCCACUGGAAUGACUCAAUUCGGAGCAAAAAUGGAUUUUCUAGGAAUUACACAAGUUCUAGAAUUAUUUUUGUACUAGAAAAGUAUUUUCUAUAUUGUUUUUCCUAUUUUCUUAAGUCCCUGGACUAAGCACACUAAUACAGAGAAGACCGGGGUUAAACUUGCAAAAGUCAACCAGACACAGACAACUCCCACGAGGACGGCGGGUUAGUUUAGGGAAAGCCGAGGGGCUCUUUAAGAAAAUAGGCGCGGCGAAGGGGUAUGGAUGAAUAUCUACCGUCCGAUCAGAGAUGGACGCCCCGAUUAAAUCGAGCACCACCCCGAACCGGUACAACACCUCGGCCAUCAGAUCGAGAAUCUACGGCUAGGAUCAGAUCGUUGUUAUUAUAAACCAGCACGCGCUCACAACCAUCCGAUCACGUAUCUGCGGUCAUGAUUUAUUGUCUCGAAAGGUUAUCCUCCCAUCUAAUCGCAGCCGUCCAACAUCGAUCUAACAACUUGAAACUCGUCUUCCUCCAUCGGAACUCCCACCGACCAUCAACGCAGCGGUGCACAGCGCCGGUGCGGCAGCGCCAUAGCUAGCGCAUAGGGUCCGCGCGAUUCCGCCCCCAAUCACUGCAAUAACUGGUGCUACACGAUCUCUGUGACACGAUGACUACUUGGGUGGAGGACUUACCAGCGAUGAUGUCGCGGCCAAGUCUGCCCACGAUGAGGAGCGAAUCAGUGGCCCAGCAGGAGUCCAGCGAGCAAUUGUGCCUACGUCGAGCCAUCCCGCGGCAGCGAGCUUGGCAGAGCUCGCCAACCGAGCCCGAGACCACGGCCCGAACGCUACUACCCGAAAUCUUCAUGACGACGAACAGUAGAAGAACUCACCCCUGGUGACGCAGCAAAACCGACCAGAUCCCCUCCAAGUCGCGAUGGCGGCACCUCCCGAUGAAUAAUCCCGUGCUCGCAGGUUGCUCCCCAGUCGAAUUGGGGUCCGUGAUGCCGGAGCCGAUGCCUGCGAUGCUCACGGCCCCUCUCCGACCGCAGACCAGCUGCGCGGAUGGAAAUCCCCGGCAGCGGUCACCAUGUCCCAGCCCAGCAGUGCGAAGCUCAGCGCUUGGUCACCCGAUUUCCCCCCGACUA
rnacentral:lncRNA from 1 species